GCUGGGCAUGGUGGUGCGCGCCUGUAGUCCCAGCUACUCCGGAGACUGAGGCAGGAGAAUUGCUUGAACCCAGGAGGGGGAGGUUGCGGUGAGCCGAGAUCGUGCCAUUGCACUCCAGUCUGGGUAACAACAGCAAAACUCCAUCUCAAAAAAAAAAAGAGACAGAGUCUCACUCUGUUGCCCAGGCUGGAGUGCAAUGGCAUGAUCUCGGCUCACCGCAACCUCCGCCUCCUGGGUUCAAGCAAUUCUCUUGUCUCAA
rnacentral:SRP_RNA from 1 species